rnacentral:rRNA from 1 species
AAAUUGAAGAGUUUGAUCAUGGCUCAGAUUGAACGCUGGCGGCAGGCCUAACACAUGCAAGUCGAACGGUAACAGGAAGAAGCUUGCUUCUUUGCUGACGAGUGGCGGACGGGUGAGUAAUGUCUGGGAAACUGCCUGAUGGAGAGGGAUAACUACUGGAAACGGUAGCUAAUACCGCAUAACGUCGCAAGACCAAAGAGGGGGACCUUCGGGCCUCUUGCCAUCGGAUGUGCCCAGAUGGGAUUAGCUAGUAGGUGGGGUAACGGCUCACCUAGGCGACGAUCCCUAGCUGGUCUGAGAGGAUGACCAGCCACACUGGAACUGAGACACGGUCCAGACUCCUACGGGAGGCAGCAGUGGGGAAUAUUGCACAAUGGGCGCAAGCCUGAUGCAGCCAUGCCGCGUGUAUGAAGAAGGCCUUCGGGUUGUAAAGUACUUUCAGCGGGGAGGAAGGGAGUAAAGUUAAUACCUUUGCUCAUUGACGUUACCCGCAGAAGAAGCACCGGCUAACUCCGUGCCAGCAGCCGCGGUAAUACGGAGGGUGCAAGCGUUAAUCGGAAUUACUGGGCGUAAAGCGCACGCAGGCGGUUUGUUAAGUCAGAUGUGAAAUCCCCGGGCUCAACCUGGGAACUGCAUCUGAUACUGGCAAGCUUGAGUCUCGUAGAGGGGGGUAGAAUUCCAGGUGUAGCGGUGAAAUGCGUAGAGAUCUGGAGGAAUACCGGUGGCGAAGGCGGCCCCCUGGACGAAGACUGACGCUCAGGUGCGAAAGCGUGGGGAGCAAACAGGAUUAGAUACCCUGGUAGUCCACGCCGUAAACGAUGUCGACUUGGAGGUUGUGCCCUUGAGGCGUGGCUUCCGGAGCUAACGCGUUAAGUCGACCGCCUGGGGAGUACGGCCGCAAGGUUAAAACUCAAAUGAAUUGACGGGGGCCCGCACAAGCGGUGGAGCAUGUGGUUUAAUUCGAUGCAACGCGAAGAACCUUACCUGGUCUUGACAUCCACGGAAGUUUUCAGAGAUGAGAAUGUGCCUUCGGGAACCGUGAGACAGGUGCUGCAUGGCUGUCGUCAGCUCGUGUUGUGAAAUGUUGGGUUAAGUCCCGCAACGAGCGCAACCCUUAUCCUUUGUUGCCAGCGGUCCGGCCGGGAACUCAAAGGAGACUGCCAGUGAUAAACUGGAGGAAGGUGGGGAUGACGUCAAGUCAUCAUGGCCCUUACGACCAGGGCUACACACGUGCUACAAUGGCGCAUACAAAGAGAAGCGACCUCGCGAGAGCAAGCGGACCUCAUAAAGUGCGUCGUAGUCCGGAUUGGAGUCUGCAACUCGACUCCAUGAAGUCGGAAUCGCUAGUAAUCGUGGAUCAGAAUGCCACGGUGAAUACGUUCCCGGGCCUUGUACACACCGCCCGUCACACCAUGGGAGUGGGUUGCAAAAGAAGUAGGUAGCUUAACCUUCGGGAGGGCGCUUACCACUUUGUGAUUCAUGACUGGGGUGAAGUCGUAACAAGGUAACCGUAGGGGAACCUGCGGUUGGAUCACCUCCUUACCUUAAAGAAGC